rnacentral:rRNA from 1 species
CACCGCGGUUAUACGAGAGGCCCAAGCUGAUAGACGCCGGCGUAAAGCGUGGUUAAAACAACCCUAAAACUAAAGCCGAACAUCUUCAAGGCUGUCACACGCACCCGAAGACAUGAAGCACCACUACGAAAGUGGCUUUACAUUUUUGAACCCACGAAAGCUAAGGCA